UACGUAGGGAGCAAGCGUUGUCCGGAAUCAUUGGGCGUAAAGCGCGCGUAGGUGGCUUCGUAAGUCCGCUGUGAAAGUCAAAGGCUCAACCUUUGAAAGCCGGUGGAUACUGCGGGGCUAGAGUACGGAAGAGGCGAGUGGAAUUCCUGGUGUAGCGGUGGAAUGCGCAGAUAUCAGGAGGAACACCAAUAGCGAAGGCAGCUCGCUGGGACGUUACUGACACUGAGGCGCGAAAGCGUGGGGAGCGAACAGG
rnacentral:rRNA from 1 species